GUGACUGCCAGCAGCCGCGGUAAUACGUAGGGUGCGAGCGUUGUCCGGAAUUAUUGGGCGUAAAGAGCUCGUAGGCGGUCUGUCGCGUCUGCUGUGAAAACCCGAGGCUCAACCUCGGGCCUGCAGUGGGUACGGGCAGACUAGAGUGCGGUAGGGGAGAAUGGAAUUCCUGGUGUAGCGGUGGAAUGCGCAGAUAUCAGGAGGAACACCGAUGGCGAAGGCAGUUCUCUGGGCCGUAACUGACGCUGAGGAGCGAAAGCGUGGGGAGCGAACAGGAUUAGAUACCCUGUAGUCCACGCCGUAAACGUUGGGCGCUAGAUGUGGGGAUCAUUCCACGGUUUCCGUGUCGCAGCUAGCGCAUUAAGCGCCCCGCCUGGGGAGUACGGCCGCAAGGCUAAAACUCAAAGGUAUUGACGGGGGCCCGCACAAGCGGCGGAGCAUGCGGAUUAAUUCGAUGCAACGCGAAGAACCUUACCAAGGCUUGACAUACACGAGAACGCCCUAGAAAUAGGGAACUCUUUGGACACUCGUGAACAGGUGGUGCAUGGUUGUCGUCAGCUCGUGUCGUGAGAUGUUGGGUUAAGUCCCGCAACGAGCGCAACCCUCGUUCUGUGUUGCCAGCGCGUAAUGGCGGGAACUCAUAGGAGACUGCCGGGGUCAACUCGGAGGAAGGUGGGGAUGACGUCAAAUCAUCAUGCCCCUUAUGUCUUGGGCUUCACGCAUGCUACAAUGGCCGGUACAAAGGGCUGCAAUACCGUAAGGUGGAGCGAAUCCCAAAAAGCCGGUCUCAGUUCGGANUGAGGUCUGCNACUCGACCUCAUGAAGUCGGANUCGCUAGUAAUCGCANAUCANCAACGCUGCGGNGAAUACGUUCCC
rnacentral:rRNA from 1 species